AUACCCGCUCCGCGAGUGGUGAGGACUAUUACUGGGCUUAAAGCGCCCGUAGCCGGCCGGGUGUGUCCUCCGUUAAAUCCACAGGCCUAACCUGUGGGCUGCGGGGGAUACUACCCGGCUCGGGGGUGGGAGAGGGCGGCGGUAUUCCCGGGGUAGGGGUAAAAUCCACUGAUCCCGGGAGGACCACCAGUGGCGAGGGCGGCCGCCCAGAACACGCCCGACGGUGAGGGGCGAAAGCUGGGGGAGCAAACGGGAUUAGAAACCCUUGUAGUCC
rnacentral:rRNA from 1 species